UACUGUGAAAAGAAAACAAGAAAAUCAAUGCACCCAGUGGAAGAUAAAUGUUCUAUAGGAUGUCUAAGAUAAAGGAAGCUCGACUUUCUUAAUUAGCUCGCUGCUCUGGGCUCUAGCUGGACAAAGUUACAUUCAUCUACAUAUGGGUGAGAACCUUACAAGACACAAAGAGGUACCUACAAAAUAUUGCACUCUCGCAUAAACCACUGGAGAAGGCAGCCUUCUUUUAUUUGCCUCUAGACGGAAACAGCUCAAGAAUUGAAGACAUAAAUCAUUGCUUUAGGAACUUUACUCACUGUAGACAAAACUAAAGAGAACAAAAAGAAAGAGCAUUCCAGACCAAUAAUAAACGCCAUCAAACUAGGAAAAAGCAUUUACAACAUUAACUAGGUAAGUUACAGCCCCUAGUAAUGCUUGAACCGCCUAAAGUCUGGCAGAGUAGUUCCAAAAGCCUUAAACAAGACUUCAAAGGGUACUUCCUUCCCACAUUCACAUCACUUAGGAAAACAACCAAAAGGAAGUUAUGCCUGCUCUAACAACCCAAACUGCUCCUCCCAUCCUACUGCUACCGCCAUCACUAACUAAAGCUUCUCAAAGUAGCUAGUGUAACUUAAAACACCAGCACAACUCAUAAACAGGCUCUUAUGCCAUGCCAGACUGAAAACCUUCAAAUGGAUCCUGAUGACAGCAAUCGUACCUACAGCAACCUCCUGAACCAUUUCCAAUCAAGGAUAAACAACAGGAAAAUCAUUCUUAAUGCCUUUCCGAAUUCUCCCAAUGUCUUUUCUCUUAGCCACAGCUGACUUUCUGAACUGCCAUUUCUCUUCAGAAUAUCCCUAUUGACAUCUUCAGGCCCCAUUUGGGUUUGCAGUGCACAUCCAUUUCACAAAAGCUGAAUCACAAAAAAUGCAGCUUCUCAAGGAAGCUUAUUUUCUUAGCUUCCUUAGGCUUCCUUAGAAGCUGCCAUAUAGAGCCCCACUUUUGUGCACAAGAGGGCACCACACAGCCAAACUGGUUCCGAGUCUCCACAUCAAUUGCCUAGUAAAGCUCCUCGAUAUACAAAAAAGGAACAAAACAGCCUAUUCACAUCAUACAGGGAAAAUAUACCUACAGAAUAUUGCCUUAGCUGGCACCUUCUAAUGUACGAUUGCAAAGGGGCAGCCAGGGACCAAAGCAAACGGCCAGUACAUAUAGAGAAUUGACAUAAACUGAGCACCUCAUCUUUUUCUACCUAGAACAAUGUGAAGACUGGAGCUUAAAGGUAAUGAUCAACAGCUAACUCAGUAAAUUUGAGGUCAACAUCUCAAUUAAUCAAUAGCCAGUACACUUGUUAUGGGGAUAUUAGGAAUUGGGGAAUGUGAUUUAUGCGUGGUAGAGAACCCAUUCAUGCAGAGACCAUUAAAGGCAGAAUGAUUCCACAAUAGUUCAGUCAAAUUCAGUUGGAUGUUAGAGUGUUUUAAUAUCUUGAUUUUGAAUGUUCUGUUGCCAACUAUUAACAUAUGAAUGAAACUAAGAUUUCAUUUACAAUUCACCUUUUUGCUAAAUCCCCACUUGCAAUCCCACCAUUAGCGUGUAAAUCUUUGUGAUCAGAACUACAUGCGAAAACGAGCUUGCAAAAUGGAUUGACCAGUAUAAUUGAGGCAUCUCAAAAUUUGAUGCAUAUACACUACAACAGGAAAACAUUGUCUACAAACCUGGCCUUUCUAUCCGACCAAUGAACUGGUUAGAAGGAAAUUCAGGUUGCCAGCAAAAUUGUCCAUCCUCCAUAUUGUCAUUGAAGAGUGCCUUACGCUUUCUCAUAGUUGUGUCCAAACUCUGAUCUUCACCCACUGAAAAACACUUAAUUGGACAGGACAUAAAAGGAUCAUUAGUAUUUGUAAUUCGAGAAAGGCACAAAUCCUUGUUCUUUUGCAGAGAAAAAUCACUAAGCUUGCCCCUAUCUUGAGAACUGCUUGAAACAACAACCUCAGUUUCUUGAGCUGAACCUCUUUCCAUGCUGAUACAGGGGUCAGUGUAUAGACCCAACCUUAAAGACAAAUCACAUUGCACCCCAGGUGACUUCCCUUGAGUAUUCUCCAAAUUUGCUUGUGAGAUCCUCUUGGCAGCAAUUUCAGCACUAGGACACAAGAAUAGGUUCUGCAAAGCACCCAUUGAUGUGCUAAUGGGAUUACCAACAUAUAUAAUGUUGGGAUUCUUCUCUGCGACUUGGGAAGCCAAAUGGGGAUCUUUGUUGUGAUAGUUAUUUCCAUAAUACAAAGGAUAAACUGAACCCAAGUUCAGUUGCUUGUCAGUGUCCGUUGACAUCAAUUGACUACAGCCAGCAGAAAUAUUCUCAUAAAGUUGAGGUGCAGCAAGCUUACUAGCCUUACUCAAAUCACGGUUACAUUCUGAUACUGGAAAUGUUGAAUUUACAGCCAUGGUGGCUCUUGCAAAGUUCAACUGACAGCUGGACUGAAGUGAUGCUGACUGAGGGCAUUGUUUAUCAUUAGUUUUUUCCAAAAUUGUAAGCGAUGCAGAUACAGGUUCUUGCACUUUUGGGCUGAGGUAACUCCUGGGAUUACUGUGCCGUUGGCUUCUUGAAGCUCUAACUGGAAUGCAGCCCAGAUUGAGGGCAGCUUCAAUACAAGGAGGCAAAAGCUCUCCGGUUUCAGUGCUCUCAUCUCUUCGAAUAAUUGUGUUAAUGGCAUCAUUCACACGAUCCCAUAACGUUUCUAGGUUCAUAUACUCAGCCUCAGAGUUGGCUUUGGAGUACAUGAUUUCCUCAGCUUUCAAGACCACGGUAGGAAGCUUCUCUUGCCACUCCCUGUUCUUUUUAGUUGCGGCACUGUGACUCUCUUUAGCGACCCUGAAAAUUUGUUGAAUGAUGGAACCUCUCAUGGGUUGGUGUCUAUCGCUGUGCCAAGCUCUCCUCACGCACUCAUAAGGUCUCGGCCCUGGCCUCGGCAUCUUCACCAGCAACUCCCUCUAACCGCAGACCACCCUCUAUAGCAGAGACAGAGAAAGAGAGAGAAAGAGGCAGAUAUUUAAGCGUUUAUAGAGAGAGUACACUACAUGGGUGCAGAUGGGUCACUUCAAAUUCUUUUGUUGCUUUCGCCCUUUCAAAUCAAAUUGCAGUUAGCAAUGGGGGCUUUUUUUCGUUGGCUGGGAAGCAGUACAAAGAAAAGAGAGAGAGAAUUGAGGAGAGAGAAUUGUUUACC
rnacentral:misc_RNA from 1 species